UUUACUUUACUCUACUUUACUUUACUCUACUUUACUCUACUUUACUCUACUUUACUUUACUUUACUUUACUUUACUCUACUCUACUCUACUUUACUUACAUCACUUUACUUUACUGUCAACAAAAAAGUUACACAACAAACUGAAAUUCUAUUGUCUAUAAACCGCCUGCAAGGUGCAAUUGUUCAAAUUUUGUGUUGUUUUUUUUUUGUUUGUUUGGUUUUUUUUUUGUACCUUGUUUUUGUUUUCUUUUAGGUUUUUAUUCUGACCAUAAGCAAAGAUGUAAAUACAGAGAAAAAAAAAAGAUUAUUUCAGUAUGUGAUGUCACGCUUAUGCAAAACACUCGUAUACUGGACGCUCGAGAGCCCAGGAGCAUCCUGCAAAUAAGACCACAGAUCAUCAUGAUUCUGAUUCCCUUCAUCGUGUCCAAAAGAAAAAAGAAAGCAGGAAAGAAAGAAAAGACUGCAUACAGAUAUAUCUCUAUAAAUCUAUAGACACGUCAGAGCCCGGAAUCCGCCGUAUACAUCAGGACGCACUGUUCAGAUUGAGAUCAUUUAAAAACACUUGUCCCCAUGUAGCAUGUCCCAGUGCCUCGUCCCCCCAAACACGGGUCUGCCGUGGACGCUUUCGUCCCUGUGAACGAAUGGACGGAUUGAUAGAAAAGAGUCCGGUGAGAUAUAAUAAUUACUAUUCAUAAAGAGAGCGAGAGCGAGAAGUAAAGCCUUAGUGGUGCGGCACUUGAGUCGUCAUCUCAUGUUGAGGAAAGAUGGAAAGAUUUUUCUUUUCUUUUUUUUCUUUGACAAAUGUAGUUCAAAGAGUUCCCAUAGAAUAUUGGUAGUAUUCUGUUGAGGUCUAAUAGAGUUAUUAUAGAACGCUGAUAGAAUUUUGAGAAGAAGAAGAAAAGCUUUAUGACACGAACGUCUAUGCAACGACUUUUCCUCACGCUCUGAACUCUCGCUGCUUGUUUCAUUUGUUCGACUCUCACACGCUGCUUCUGCCGCAACCGCACGAGCCUGGGACCGAACGCGCACGUCCGUCUGUCUGUGCAUCUCUCUAUCCAUCCGUCUGUCCCUGUCAGCUCAGUGUGUGUGUGUGUGUGUGUGUGUGUGUGUGUGUGUGUGUGUGUGUGUGUGUGUGUGUGUGUGUGUGUCAGCGCUCUCAUGGCUGGGUGCUUCAUUUCUAUGUAAAAAAAACAACAGUAAAUUCCCCUCGAAAGGUUCAAAGCUGUUGAAGAACUGCGCGGCUUUUUAUAAAGGAAUCGAGUUUUACAUGUUAAACAUGUCGUCGCAUAAACGCAGGUGUCGUCGCAUAAACGCAGGAUACGUCCUCGAAACUUCAGUCUGAUCAGAUUAAAGGAAAACGUCCAAAAGUUUUGCCACCGAUAGAAAUAAACCGAUGUUAAAGCUGCGGCCGGAGGAUUCAAUUCCGUCACUGACAAAUAGAUCAGAAGUCGGUGUUUACAAACUAAACACUUUUAGAAUAAAUUUGUAGAAAUUUGAAUGUAUUUGUAAGAAAAAGGUACAAACACUAACCACAGCUCUAACCAUGACGUUUAUAAUAACCGAAUGGUGAAAACUUUACUCCGUUUAAUCACCUUCAACAGAGGAUUAGACUAAAUGUACAGGGAAGCAGAAAUAGUGUAAUUAUUAUUAUUAUUAUUAUUAUUAUUAUUAUUAUUAUUAUUAUUAUUAUUAUUAUUAUUAUUAUUUUAUAAAAAAAUUUAAAAAUCACAUUACAUUAAAAAGUGUUCAUUUUGGGGUCGGUUCCCCUCCCCCGUUUUUUUAUGUAUUUAUUUUCACUUUUUUUUUUUUUUUUUUUUUUGUCAAACUGACAUUGUUAUUGGAUUUUUUUAAAUAUUUUUAUAUUUAAUUAAUUCAUUUAUUUUAUUAUAUAUUUUUAAAAUGACCUCCGGUAAGAGCGAAUUUUUAACCUAAACCGAUUUUCAAUCGUUUUCUCUGGAUUCUGUCGACACACGUAAUACAGUAAAUCGGAGACAAAACAAAAACCCGCACCGUUCCUUCACGUCCGCUAAACCCACAAAAAUCGUGACGUCGUCCCUAAAGACUACCCAAAUCGGCGAGUGCAAUAUAUUUAAGCAGCCCCCUGGUCACAUGACCCUAAACUCUGGUCUGAUCUGAACUCUGAAGCUGAGGGUUGAGUGUUAAACACACUGACGAUUCACCCAGCCGUGAGAGUGUGUGUGAGAGCAGGAGGAUGUUCGGUUUAUCACUUUGGGUUGAAAAUGUUUGAAGACUUCUCUCAGGUAAUAAAUAAUAAAUAGAAAUCUAUAUAACAAACAUUUUUAAAUAAACAAUGGAAAAUAAAAGCCACUGCCAUUUUGUUACGCUCACAUCGUUCUUCGCUCUCAGUUGAGGUUGUGUGUAGUUUUAUGUUUGUGUGCGUGAGUGUGUGUGUGUGUGUGUGUGUGUGUGUGUGUGUGUGUGUGUGUGUGUGUGUGUGUGUGUGUUUUGGAGCCUUGUUCGUGGCUAAAUUGUACACUGUGAAAAAAAGGGUACUAAAUUCUAUAAACAACAAAAGCAAUUCUCCACAGUGGAAUACGAGUCAUGUGGCUUCUGCUGUUAUCACGUGACUGACUCGACCAAUCAGCACGCAGUUUAGACCUUGUUCUUUCAGGACUUGUGUGAAAUUCAGUUGGAAGCAGGCGGGAUUGUUCGGAUUCACUACCUUGAGGAGCAUAGGUGGAAUGGGUGGUCCGUCAAGAAUGUAGUUGGAACUCCUUCAGGGUUCCUUUGGGAUCGUUGGUGGAAUUCCUUCAAGAAUAUAGUUAGAAUUCCUUCAGGAGCAGAGACGGAAUUCCUUUUGGUGUGUAAUUGGAAUUCUUACAAGAGCAAAAGUGGAGUUAAUUCAGGAGUGAAUUCCUUCAGGAAUGUAGGUGAGGUUCCUUCAGGAGUGUAGGUGGGAUUCCUUCAGGAAUGUAGGUGGGAUUCCUUCAGGAGUGUAGGUGGGAUUCCUUCAGGAGUGUAGGUGGGAUUCCUUCAGGAGUGUAGGUGGGAUUCCUUCAGGAGUGUAGGUGGGAUUCCUUCAAGAGUGUAGGUGGGAUUCCUUCAGGAAUGUAGAUGGGAUUCCUUCAGGAGUGUAGGUGGGAUUCCUUCAGGAGUGUAGGUGGGAUUCCUUCAGGAAUGUAGAUGGGAUUCCUUCAGGAGUGUAGGUGGGAUUCCUUCAGGAGUGUAGGUGGGAUUCCUUCAGGAAUGUAGAUGGGAUUCCUUCAGGAGUGUAGGUGGGAUUCCUUCAGGAGUGUAGGUGGGAUUCCUUCAGGAGUGUAGGGGGGAUUCCUUCAGGAGUGUAGGUGGGAUUCCUUCAGGAGUGUAGGUGGGAUUCCUUCAGGAGUGUAGGUGGGAUUCCUUCAGGAGUGUAGGUGGGAUUUCUUCAGGAGUGUAGGUGGGAUUCCUUCAGGAAUGUAGAUGGGAUUCCUUCAGUAGUGGCUCGAAUUGUUCCAGGUUCAGAUCGAUAUUUUUCCAUUGUGUAACUCCUGCGCAUCUGAUCAAAUUGGAGCAUCUCUGAUCCUUAACUUUUAGCGAUGAGGCAUCAUACAGUUUAACACCCAGUUUUUCUCAGUGUAUAAAAUGGAAAGCCUGAAAUAAAAGAAAAAUUCAAAUGAAACUAGAAGAAUCUAUCAGAAGUGCUCCUGUAUCUGCCGUAGCCUGCAACCAGAUGUUUGCUUCAUUCACUUUGUGUGUGUGUGUGUGUGUGUGUGCGCGCUAAUCAUGCUCUUCAUGCUUCUUCAGCCCCUCUUGAGGCCACCAAUCGAUGUAUAAAGCAAAGCUUUGCAAUAGCAGUAUGACCGUAGCGCUGAGAACGAGGAGAACAUGCUGAAGGAGAGAAAUGACGUCAGUAACAUGAACAGUGAAGUUGUCCGAUGCCUCGAUUUGAAAAUCUAACCAGUUUCCACAUUUUAAUGUAAUAAGAAGGUACAGUUUGUAUAAACUAACUGUGUGUGUGUGUCUGUGCGUGUCGACGUCCUCUGUGUCAUUACGUGAGUCAGAGAACCAAAGUUCAGAAAUUCAGGAAAACCUUGUUAGCUACAUUUUGUGACAGUAUUUCGCACUACGCGUGAGCCGAGACUGUGUUACGCUAAACGUUUCCAUGGAAACAUGAAAGCAUUCAUGGACCAAACACCAAAUUCUUCAGUAAAGAUUCUGAUCAGCAGAUUCACCAUUUAUCCAGAUGGAAUUAAAAAAAAUAUAUAUAUGUUAUUUUUAUUGCGCGCCUAGACAGCGAGGAAUGUACGAAAACCCGGAUGCAACGCAAGCGCGAGAUUAUUUUUGUGGAUAGCCAAAAGGGAAACCCGUGUCCUGUAAUCCCAUAAUGCUUUAGCUCAAAACUUUUAUGCAACGAAGCUUCCCAAUCGCACUCGCUCAGGUUCGAUCUCAAGGCCUCAGAGGGUGCUGAAAAUCUCCCUUUUACCACUUUGUCGUUCUUCCUUUUCUUCCCUCACGCUUCUGGGCUUGAUGCAUAAUUGUGGUCUACACUUCUCCGUCUGAUAGAACGAAAGGUGAGAGUGCGGUGUUUGUGGAAUGAAGUCGGUUUGGAUCUGCGAUUUCAAAUCAUCCGCGUUAUUCCUCAUUCUGUUGGACUUUUCCCUCUCGGGAUCUUUUAUUUUCAGAUGUUACGAACUUUAAACGCUACAAAAACGAGGCUCUCUCACACACACAUACACACACACAUAUACACACAGAGAUACACUGGUUUGCGUUGAAAGACAUAAAACUAAAUUUUUUUAUUUUUUUUAUUUUUUUCUGUUUGUUUUGUCUGGUUCCUACUGUUUUAUUCAGGACUCUUAUCCAUCUUUCUUUCAAACACUUUUUAGACUUUUAAACACUUCUAACCCGUGUGUCUGUGGAUUUCCGGCCUACCAGCAUUUAACAACUGCAAAAAAAAAAAAAAAACCCAUCGCAUUUUAGCCAUCAUGUAAGUACUACGUCGACUCAUACGAGUCUUCUACUAUCGUUGAUUUGUUUUUGUCUUUUUCUUCUUCUCCUUUUCUUCUUUUUUCACUGUCCGGUUUCUUCCGGUUCACUCCACGAUUCCAAGUGUCACUGUGUAUCACUGAGGCGGCUGGGAAACGAAGGCGUGUACUUCACAGUCACUCAGGGAUCCUGACCUAUCGCAGGCUGGGGGUCAGGGGUCAUCUCGUAGGCCAUUUAACUGGAACAUUUAGCUUGUUUUCCAAUAAAAACUUUUCGGAUACCGGUCUUAGCGGACUCGAGUGAACUGUGAUACGAUUAAGGGCGCAUAAAUAUAGGACACAGCCAUCAAGUAAGGUUUUGGGUGAAAGCAAAAAAAAAUAAUCGCUAUGGAGUGCCGAGAUCCAGACAGAGCGACUGAACGUGACGAGUCACACAGACUUCAGGACGCGUCUCAGUCCAGUGACAGUAUUUUCAUAAAGCAGCAGAUCUGCAGUUAGACAACACACAGGAUGUCUAUAUGCAAGGCAAGCGCUGGGUAAAACACACACACACACACACACACACACACACCGAAAAACACAACACCUCCGAAUAUUUACUGUGAUCUCCUCUCACACCACCCACUCCCUCCCGACGUCCAUCACCUCCACUACCAGCAUCCUUUUCCCCGCCCCUGUCUCCGCCCCCAUCCCCUCUCCCUCCAAUACGAGUCCAGUGGGUGGUGUGAUGUCAGGUUUUUUUUUUUUUUUUUGUGGUGGGCUGUUUGUAACAGGUCCAGACAAUCAGCGUGUUUGUAAUUGUCAAUGUGUGAUUUUUCCAAUUUUUUUUUUCUUUCUUUUUUUAAUUUUGUUUGGUUUUAUGGUCAGGAUUUUAAAAGGAAGAUAUUUUUAUGGUAAUUGUCGCUGGUCUAUUUUACUAUAUAUUUAUGUAAUAAAUAUGUGACUAAAUUUA